rnacentral:rRNA from 1 species
UACGGGGGGAGCAAGCGUUGUUCGGAUUUACUGGGCGUAAAGGGCGCGUAGGCGGUCAGCACAAGUCAGUUGUGAAAUCUCCGGGCUUAACUCGGAAAGGUCAACUGAUACUGUGCGACUAGAGUGCGGAAGGGGCAACUGGAAUUCUCGGUGUGGCGGUGAAAUGCGCAGAUAUCAGGAGGAACACCGGUGGCGAAGGCGGGUCUCUGGGCCGAUACUGACGCUGAGGAGCGAAAGCGUGGGGAGCAAACAGG